UACGGGGGGGGCAAGCGUUGUUCGGAAUUACUGGGCGUAAAGGGCUCGUAGGCGGCCAACUAAGUCAGACGUGAAAUCCCUCGGCUUAACCGGGGAACUGCGUCUGAAACUGGAUGGCUUGAGAUUGGGAGAGGGAUGCGGAAUUCCAGGUGUAGCGGUGAAAUGCGUAGAUAUCUGGAGGAACACCGGUGGCGAAGGCGGCAUCCUGGACCAAUUCUGACGCUGAGGAGCGAAAGCCAGGGGAGCAAACGGG
rnacentral:rRNA from 1 species